rnacentral:rRNA from 1 species
AGUGAACGCUGGCGGUAGGCCUAACACAUGCAAGUCGAACGGCAGCACAGUAAGAGCUUGCUCUUACGGGUGGUGAGUGGCGGACGGGUGAGGAAUACAUCGGAAUCUACUUUUUCGUGGGGGAUAACGUAGGGAAACUUACGCUAAUACCGCAUACGACCUACGGGUGAAAGCAGGGGAUCUUCGGACCUUGCGCGAUUGAAUGAGCCGCUGUCGGAUUAGCUAGUUGGCGGGGUAAAGGCCCACCAAGGCGACGAUCCGUAGCUGGUCUGAGAGGAUGAUCAGCCACACUGGAACUGAGACACGGUCCAGACUCCUACGGGAGGCAGCAGUGGGGAAUAUUGGACAAUGGGCGCAAGCCUGAUCCAGCCAUACCGCGUGGGUGAAGAAGGCCUUCGGGUUGUAAAGCCCUUUUGUUGGGAAAGAAAAGCAGCAGGUUAAUACCCCGCUGUUCUGACGGUACCCAAAGAAUAAGCACCGGCUAACUUCGUG